rnacentral:tRNA from 1 species
GCGGAAAUAGCUCAGAGGGAGAGCAUCUGCUUGCCAAGCAGAAGGUCGCGGGUUCGAUCCCCGUUUUCCGCUCCA